AGCGAACGCUGGCGGCAGGCUUAACACAUGCAAGUCGAACGCCCCGCAAGGGGAGUGGCAGACGGGUGAGUAACACGUGGGAACGUACCCUUUGGUUCGGAAUAACUUGGGGAAACUCAAGCUAAUACCGGAUAAGCCCUUAUGGGGAAAGGUUUACUGCCGAAGGAUCGGCCCGCGUCUGAUUAGCUAGUUGGUGAGGUAACGGCUCACCAAGGCGACGAUCAGUAGCUGGUCUGAGAGGAUGAUCAGCCACACUGGGACUGAGACACGGCCCAGACUCCUACGGGAGGCAGCAGUGGGGAAUAUUGGACAAUGGAGGCAACCCUGAUCCAGCCAUGCCGCGUGAGUGAUGAAGGCCUUAGGGUUGUAAAGCUCUUUUACCCGGGACGAUGAUGACUGUACCGGGAGAAUAAGCCCCGGCUAACUUCGUGCCAGCAGCCGCAGUAA
rnacentral:rRNA from 1 species